rnacentral:tRNA from 1 species
GAGGGGAUAACUCAGUAGUAGAGUGCCUGCCUAGCAUGCACAAGGUCCUGGGUUCAAUCCCCAGUACUUCCA